GACGAACGCUGGCGGCGCGCCUAACACAUGCAAGUCGAGCGAUGAACAUUGAAUGAUCCUUUCGGGGUGAUUUCGAUCGGAUUAGCGGCGAACGGGUGAGUAACGCGUGAGGAACCUGCCUCUUACAACGGGAUAGCCCCGGGAAACCGGGAUUAAUACCGUAUAAGACUCCGACACCUCCUGGUGAUGAAGUCAAAGCGUUAGCGGUAAGAGAUGGCCUCGCGUCUGAUUAGUUAGUUGGCGGGGUAACGGCCCACCAAGACGACGAUCAGUAACCGGCCUGAGAGGCUGAUCCCCCACAUUGGGACUGAGACACGGCCCAAACUCCUACGGGAGGCAGCAGUGAGGAAUAUUGGUCAAUGGAGGAAACUCUGAACCAGCCAAGUCGCGUGAAGGAUGACGGUCCUAUGGAUUGUAAACUUCUUUAGUAGGUGAGUAAGGAUAGGUACGUGUACCUAUUAGAAAGUAGCCUAAGAAUAAGUAUCGGCUAACUCCGUGCCAGCAGCCGCGGUAAUACGGAGGAUACGAGCGUUAUCCGGAUUUAUUGGGUUUAAAGGGUGCGUAGGUGGCUGAUUAAGUCAGUGGUGAAAAGCUAUGGCUCAACCAUAGUCUUGCCGUUGAUACUGGUUAGCUUGAGUGUAGAUGAUGUAGGCGGAAUGCGUAGUGUAGCGGUGAAAUGCAUAGAUAUUACGCAGAACUCCGAUUGCGAAGGCAGCUUACAAAACUACUACUGACACUGAGGCACGAAAGCGUGGGUAUCAAACAGG
rnacentral:rRNA from 1 species